ACUAGAUAGAGGAAAAUGGAUGACAUUCAAAGUGAAGUUUUUCAUCCACUUUACAGUUACUUUGGGAGUUGAUGCUUGGAAAUCUGAAGAAGGUAUUGAAAUUAGGGUACCUCCGUACGGCUAGAGGGUUCUUAAUUAUGUACAAAUGGUGUGCUUCUUAGUGGGAUUUGCAAAUGUUAUGGAGAUGCUAUAAAAUGAAGAGUGAGGAAUUUGCACUUGGGCAGCAAAGCUUCCAUCUGUGAUAGGAGAGAACUAUCCAGCUUCUCCAAGAAUAAUUCAUCUCCAAUGUCCUCAAAAGGAAAUUGACAUAAAUAAGUAAUGUUGAUGAAGGGAUCGAGACAAUUAAAGGUAGGCUUUUUAGUAAAGGAGUUCUCAUCCUUUUGAUGAUGUUGACCAGAAGAAUUAAUUGAAUGCACUCAUGGGUAACAUCAGUGAUAUUCAAGCAUUACUGAAUUCUUCAAUGCUGAAUAUCAAGCGCUGAAGGAUCUCGAAAUUCUCAGUGCUUUUUGUUUGUCAUUGAAUAUUAGUGCUUUUUGUUGAUAGAAGGCACUGCCAUCCUUAAUGUGAGUUGAUCGGGUUGAAAUAGUUCACAAAAAGGGACAUGUGUGAGCCCUCUUAUCUGGUCCAAAUGAUGCAAUGUCUGGCAUUGCUUAGAAGAUUCAACCAGUUCUUGAAAAAUUUAGAAGACAUGCUCAGCAUAGGAGUUCAUUUUCCAAUAAGAAGUGCAUGUAGUACUUGAAAGGUCCUGCAUCCACAACCAAGUCUAUUGUCAAGGAAGAUUUGAAACUUAAACAAAUUUCUCAUUGCCCUAUGUCAUCUCACAGAUAUUGAUUGUUGUCUUUCUUGGGAUCGUUAUCUGUUAUACAUAAAUUACAAUCACACUUUGGCAA